CUUUUCCCUGCAUAAAAGUCAAAAGAGUCGAAGGAACCGAUUCAAAUGAACCGAUUCGUUCUUAUGCUGCAGCUGUUGUGAAAUCGCGCUUUGUCUCGCGGGGGGAGGAAGUGGAGGCUCCACGUGGCCUGUUGUUUACAUCCAGCAUGUCCCUGUGGAGGAGUCCGGUUUCACUCCUCACGCGCUGUUCACUCUUCUUAGAAAGAGUGAGCUCUGCUUCAGGAACAGCUCAACACUCAGACAGUGCUGACUCACAGGGGUAAGAGCAUGUGUGGGUUCUCUGUGUGUGGAACCUUUAGAAUGUGAGGUUCUACUGUUGUGUGGAUAUGUGAGGGAUAUGGUGUAGGUUAUUGUUAGUAAUUGUCAGUAACUGUGGUUAGAUGUGUGGAGAUCAGAUGAGAAGAAUGAGAAGAUAACUGGACUGAAGGUCCAGCUGAUGUCAAACUUCAAAACUAUACCUAUGUUUAGAUUCAGGAUCGCUACCUCAGAAGAAUGUUCCACACUGGGAGCCGGCUGGCCCACUUCUACUUCUCCUCAGGGUCUGGAGACUCCAGCAGCUCCAGAAACAGCACUGAUCCCGGAGGAUCUGGGGGUCCUGGUGGGUCUGUAGGUUCUGCUGGUUCUGGCAGUCUGGGCCUGGCUGGCAGUGGAACAGAGAAACGUCAAGAGAGAAUUCCCCAGAGUUUACCAGAGUUCAUCAAACAUCUCCAGAAGGUCGCAGGUCUGAGGAAAGAGGAUGUGUUCUAUAACCUGCGAGUCCCAAACCAGUUCCAGACAGCACGGGAGGAGAUCAACCUCGUCAUCCUCACAGGUGCGGGAGUGUACUGUAUUGAUGUAAAGACAUGGACAGGUGCUGUAUCACCUCAGGGCCAAAACACCUGGCACCUCCAAGUGAAAGAGGAGGAGCCAAACUUCACAAACACCUCCAUCCAGCAGGUCCCUGACCCCCUGCAGGCAAUUACGAGGAAGACGUGUGAUCUGUGCAGCUAUAUGAAGCAGUGUGGAGUGAAAAUCAGACAGUCCCUCUUCCUACCCAGAAUCCUCUUCCUCUCUCCUCACUGUACGCUGGAUGAUGAGCUGAGGAAGAGGAAUGAGCUGGUGCCCCACAGUCAUCUGCAGGCGUUCCUUUGUUCUCUCAGGGAGGGGUACAUGGCCUGGAUCACAGACGCUCUGACUCCAUCCUGGAUCUCAGGUCACCUGUCGUUCAGGCAGCUGGGGGCAGCGCGGGCGGUUCUGGGGCACAUGGGGACGUGGGACCUGGUGCAGUUGAGCAGUGGCACUCAGCUGAAGGGGGAUUAUCAGGGCUGCCAGCACCUCGCCCUCAACCGUCAGGACACGGACCUGCUGGAGUUCAGCCGGACCACAAUCCUGCCUACUGACACACUGUGGGCUCUGCUGGGACACACACCACAGGUUAGAGCUCACACACACAAACUCCGCCCCCUCGCCUGUGUCCAAAAACUUUCCUCACCCCUUCUGCACUGUAU
rnacentral:lncRNA from 1 species